AGUGAACGCUGGCGGUAGGCCUAACACAUGCCAGUCGAACGGCAGCACAGUAAGAGCUUGCUCUUCCGGGUGGCGAGUGGCGGACGGGUGAGGAAUACAUCGGAAUCUACUUUUUCGUGGGGGAUAACGUAGGGAAACUUACGCUAAUACCGCAUACGACCUACGGGUGAAAGCAGGGGAUCUUCGGACCUUGCGCGAUUGAAUGAGCCGAUGUCGGAUUAGCUAGUGGGCGGGGUAAAGGCCCACCAAGGCGACGAUCCGUAGCUGGUCUGAGAGGAUGAUCAGCCACACUGGAACUGAGACACGGUCCAGACUCCUACGGGAGGCAGCAGUGGGGAAUAUUGGACAAUGGGCGCAAGCCUGAUCCAGCCAUACCGCGUGGGUGAAGAAGGCCUUCGGGUUGUAAAGCCCUUUUGUUGGGAAAGAAAAGCAGCAGGUUAAUACCCCGCUGUUCUGACGGUACCCAAAGAAUAAGCACCGGCUAACUUCGUG
rnacentral:rRNA from 1 species